GCGAAUGGUGGAUGCCUUGACUGGUAAAGGCGAUGAAGGACGUACUAGACUGCGAUAAGCUACGGGGAGCUGUCAAGAAGCUUUGAUCCGUAGAUUUCCGAAUGGGGCAACCCAAUGUAUAGAGAUAUACAUUACCUAUAUAGGAGCGAACGAGGGGAAUUGAAACAUCUUAGUACCCUCAGGAAAAGAAAUCAAUAGAGAUUGCGUCAGUAGCGGCGAGCGAAAGCGCAAGAGGGCAAACCCAGUGCUUGCACUGGGGGUUGUAGGACUGCAAUGUGCAAGAGCUGAGUUUAGCAGAACAUUCUGGAAAGUAUAGCCAUAGAGGGUGAUAGUCCCGUAUGCGAAAAACAAAGCUUAGCUAGCAGUAUCCUGAGUAGGGCGGGACACGAGGAAUCCUGUCUGAAUCCGGGUCGACCACGAUCCAACCCUAAAUACUAAUACCAGAUCGAUAGUGCACAAGUACCGUGAGGGAAAGGUGAAAAGAACUGAGGUGAUCAGAGUGAAAUAGAACCUGAAACCAUUUGCUUACAAUCAUUCAGAGCACUAUGUAGCAAUACAGUGUGAUGGACUGCCUUUUGCAUAAUGAGCCUGCGAGUUGUGGUGUCUGGCAAGGUUAAGCAAACGCGAAGCCGUAGCGAAAGCGAGUCUGAAUAGGGCGCUUAGUCAGAUGCUGCAGACCCGAAACGAAGUGAUCUAUCCAUGAGCAAGUUGAAGCUAGUGUAAGAACUAGUGGAGGACUGAACCCAUAGGCGUUGAAAAGCCCCGGGAUGACUUGUGGAUAGGGGUGAAAGGCCAAUCAAACUUCGUGAUAGCUGGUUCUCUCCGAAAUAUAUUUAGGUAUAGCGUUGUGUCGUAAUAUAAGGGGGUAGAGCACUGAAUGGGCUAGGGCAUACACCAAUGUACCAAACCCUAUCAAACUCCGAAUACCUUAUAUGUAAUCACAGCAGUCAGGCGGCGAGUGAUAAAAUCCGUCGUCAAGAGGGAAACAACCCAGACUACCAGCUAAGGUCCCUAAAUCUUACUUAAGUGGAAAACGAUGUGAAGUUACUUAAACAACCAGGAGGUUGGCUUAGAAGCAGCCAUCCUUUAAAGAAAGCGUAAUAGCUCACUGGUCUAGUGAUUUUGCGCGGAAAAUAUAACGGGGCUAAAGUAAGUACCGAAGCUGUAGACUUAGUUUACUAAGUGGUAGGAGAGCGUUCUAUUUGCGUCGAAGGUAUACCGGUAAGGAGUGCUGGAGCGAAUAGAAGUGAGCAUGCAGGCAUGAGUAGCGAUAAUUAAUGUGAGAAUCAUUAACGCCGUAAACCCAAGGUUUCCUACGCGAUGCUCGUCAUCGUAGGGUUAGUCGGGUCCUAAGUCGAGUCCGAAAGGGGUAGACGAUGGCAAAUUGGUUAAUAUUCCAAUACCAACAUUAGUGUGCGAUGGAAGGACGCUUAGGGCUAAGGGGGCUAGCGGAUGGAAGUGCUAGUCUAAGGUCGUAGGAGGUUAUACAGGAAAAUCCGUAUAACAAUACUCCGAGAACUGAAAGGCUUUUUGAAGUCUUCGGAUGGAUAGAAGAACCCCUGAUGCCGUCGAGCCAAGAAAAGUUUCUAAGUUUAGCUAAUGUUGCCCGUACCGUAAACCGACACAGGUGGGUGGGAUGAGUAUUCUAAGGCGCGUGGAAGAACUCUCUUUAAGGAACUCUGCAAAAUAGCACCGUAUCUUC
rnacentral:rRNA from 1 species